GUCUCUGUGGCGCAAUCGGUUAGCGCGUUCGGCUGUUAACCGAAAGGUUGGUGCUUCAAGCCCACGAUAGGACG
rfam:Nematostella vectensis strain CH2 x CH6 NEMVEscaffold_142_Cont15275, whole genome shotgun sequence.